UAUGAUAAGGGCAAACCCGGAGUGAUCCGGGGACGCAAAGUAACAGGGUCUUUUGUAGGGGCGUAUUGCAAUAUGCCCCUACCGUUAGGAAAAAGACAGCCUUACUGCCGAAG
rnacentral:ncRNA from 1 species